rnacentral:misc_RNA from 1 species
GGCUUUUGUCAAAUAAUAUAAAUAGACAUUUUACCUCAUUUGGGAGGAAGGAAGGGAGGAAAACAGAGAAAAGGAAAGGAAGCGAGCAGCAGCCGACAUUCUUCUAUUCCUUGCCCAGAUUUGGAAACUUCUUCUUUUCUUCACCUUUUUCUACAUUUCUUUUACUGGGUUUCUUAGUUCUUCAUUUAUUUUCCAAAUUUAUUUCCUAAUUUGCUUAGAAUCCUUUGUAUUAAAUAUGGACAGUGAGUAAUUUUUC